rnacentral:rRNA from 1 species
CCUACGGGGGGCAGCAGUGAGGAAUAUUGGUCAAUGGGCGAGAGCCUGAACCAGCCAAGUCGCGUGAGGGAGUACUACCCUAUGGGUUGUAAACUUCUUUUGUCGGGGAGCAAAAGCCGGACGUGUCCGGCUGUGAGAGUACCCGAAGCAAAAGCAUCGGCUAACUACGGGCCAGCAGCCGCGGUAAUAGGGGGGAUGCAGGCGUUUUCCGGAGUUUAUGGGGUUAAAGGGUGCGCAGGCGGAUUUUUAAGUCAGCGGUCAAAUCCUGGGGCUCAACCCCAUCCAGCCGUUGACACUGGGGAUCUAGAGUGAACGAGAGGUAGGCGGAAUGCGUGGUGUAGCGGUGAAAUGCAUAGAUAUCACGCAGAACCCCGAUUGCGAAGGCAGCAUACCGGUGCACAACUGACGCUCAGGCACGAAAGCGUGGGUAUCGAACAGGAUUAGAUACCCUGGUAGUC